ensembl:snRNA U4 U4 spliceosomal RNA
GCUUUUGCACAGUGGCAAUAUCGUAGCCAGUGAGGUUUAACCGAGGAGUGAUUAUUGUUAAUUGAAAACUUCAGGGAAGAAUCCUUUAGGAGCCUAUGGCUAAAAUGGGAAGUGAGGGCUGGGUGAUCAG